UGAUGGAAGGCUGUUUUACAUUGACAUCCUU
rnacentral:piRNA from 1 species